rnacentral:tRNA from 1 species
AUAGCGUAAUUGCAGCUUAAUUUCGACUUAAGUUUAGGAAAGUUUAGUGAAGUUCACGUUACU